rnacentral:rRNA from 1 species
GAUGAACGCUGGCGGCGUGCCUAAUACAUGCAAGCCGAGCGAACGGACGAGAAGCUUGCUUCUCUGAUGUUAGCGGCGGACGGGUGAGUAACACGUGGAUAACCUACCUAUAAGACUGGGAUAACUUCGGGAAACCGGAGCUAAUACCGGAUAAUAUUGUGAACCGCAUGGUUCAAAAGUGAAAGACGGUCUUGCUGUCACCUAUAGAUGGAUCCGCGCUGCAUUAGCUAGUUGGUAAGGUAACGGCUUACCAAGGCAACGAUGCAUAGCCGACCUGAGAGGGUGAUCGGCCACACUGGAACUGAGACCCGGUCCAGACUCCUACGGGAGGCAGCAGUAGGGAAUCUUCCGCAAUGGGCGAAAGCCUGACGGAGCAACGCCGCGUGAGUGAUGAAGGUCUUCGGAUCGUAAACCUCUGUUAUUAGGGAAGAACAUAUGUGUAAGUAACUGUGCACAUCUUGACGGUACCUAAUCAGAAAGCCACGGCUAACUACGUG